rnacentral:misc_RNA from 1 species
GUAGGUGAACCUGCGGAGGGAUCAUUAGCGUAAAACUCCAAGUUGGAGACGAGUGUCAACGAGUCUUCAACUUGAGUGUUGUUCAUUGUUGGAGACGAGUGCAAACGAGUCUGUAACAAGGAGCACUGUUGUAGCGGUGAGUUGGAGAUUGUGGUCUCAAGGUUGACUCGUCAACAUUGCGCAUUCUGUCUCUAACUCCCCACCCCUACUCACUAUCACGUGUUGCUACAACAUUCGUAGCACAUUUACAAUCACAUUUCCUCAACAAUAACAACAACCAAACAAAAACAACUUUUAACAAUGGAUCUCUUGGCUCUU